rnacentral:rRNA from 1 species
CAGGCUUAACACAUGCAAGUCGAGGGGCAGCAUGGUCUUAGCUUGCUAAGGCUGAUGGCGACCGGCGCACGGGUGAGUAACACGUAUCCAACCUGCCGUCUACUCUUGGCCAGCCUUCUGAAAGGAAGAUUAAUCCAGGAUGGGGUCAUGAGUUCACAUGUCCGCAUGAUUAAAGGUAUUUUCCGGUAGACGAUGGGGAUGCGUUCCAUUAGAUAGUAGGCGGGGUAACGGCCCACCUAGUCAACGAUGGAUAGGGGUUCUGAGAGGAAGGUCCCCCACAUUGGAACUGAGACACGGUCCAAACUCCUACGGGAGGCAGCAGUGAGGAAUAUUGGUCAAUGGGCGAUGGCCUGAACCAGCCAAGUAGCGUGAAGGAUGACGG